rnacentral:rRNA from 1 species
CCUACGGGUGGCAGCAGUGAGGAAUAUUGGUCAAUGGGCGGGAGCCUGAACCAGCCAAGUCGCGUGAGGGAAGACGGUCCUACGGAUUGUAAACCUCUUUUGCCGGGGAGCAACGGGGUCCUUGCGAGGGCCCGAUGAGAGUACCCGGAGAAAAAGCAUCGGCUAACUCCGUGCCAGCAGCCGCGGUAAUACGGAGGUGGCAAGCGUUGUCCGGAUUUACUGGGUGUAAAGGGCGUGCAGCCGGGAAGACAAGUCAGAUGUGAAAUCCCGCGGCUCAACCGCGGAACUGCAUUUGAAACUGUUUUUCUUGAGUACCGGAGAGGUCAUCGGAAUUCCUUGUGUAGCGGUGAAAUGCGUAGAUAUAAGGAAGAACACCAGUGGCGAAGGCGGAUGACUGGACGGCAACUGACGGUGAGGCGCGAAAGCGUGGGGAGCAAACAGGAUUAGAUACCCGAGUAGUC